GUUUAGUUAAAUUUCUUAUUAUUAUUUUUUAUAUUUAAAUUACUUUUAAUUUUCUCAGUAUUAUUUAGAAAAGAUCAAUUAUUCAAAACUGUGAAGGUUUUUAGUAUAGGCAUUAAAUAGUUUUUAUUAGUACCUUUUGUAUCAGGGUAAAUUUAUUAAAUUAGUAAUUUCUUAAUUUCCCGAAUUAAAAAGUUUAAUGAGUAUAUUUAUUUACUUGUUUCAUUAAGUUUUAUAAUAUAUUUGUAGUAGUUAUAUGUUAGUCGUUUUUUGUUUAUCUGGUUGUUAAGGAAAUUAAUUAAAUUAAUCAUUGUUUUGUUGUAAAUAAAAUUUAUUUAUUAUGAAUUAUGAUAAGUUAUUAGGGAUAAUCUUAAUAAUUAAUUAAUACAAUUUUGUUAUAAUAGAUGUUUAAUAACUUUGAAAUUUUGUAUUGAGUUUAUACUAAAUUUUCAUCUUUUAUUAUAAUUUUUUUAUAUUUAUUUUUGUACUUAACUUUUUAAUAUAAUUAUUUUUUUAUUUUAAUAAUUAUUUAAUUAGUAUAAUUAUUAUAUUUAAUUGUAUGAAUUCGACAAAUUUUAUUUCCAACUGUUUAACAAAAACAUUUCUUUUUGUCUUUUAUAAAAGGUAAUUUCUGCCCUAUGGUUUUUCUAAAUGGCUGCAGUAUUUUGACUGUGCAAAGGUAGCAUAGUAAUUAGUUUCUUAAUUAGGAGCUGGUAUGAAUGAAUUAAUGAGAAACAUAUUUUAUUAUUUUAAUUAUUAGAAUUUAAAUUUUAAGUUAAAAUGCUUAAUUAUUUUCUAGGGACGAUAAGACCCUAUAGAACUUUAUAUUAAUUUUUUUAGUUAACUUUUGUUUUUAAUAUUUAUCUAAAUUUAUUAAUAAUUUUCUGGGGUGGAAAAUAAAUUUUAACUUUAUUUUUAUAUUUCAAUAAUUUUUGUUUAUUAUGAUCCUAAUGGAAAUAAGAAUAAGUUACCUUAGGGAUAACAGCGUAAUUUUAGUGGGGAGUUCACAUCUAUACUAAUUUUGCGACCUCGAUGUUGAAUUAAGGUUAGAUUAAGAAGCAGAAUUCUUUUUUCUAAGUCUGUUCGACUUUUAAAACCUUACAUGAUUUGAGUUCAAACCGGCGUGAGCCAGGUUGGUUUCUAUCUUAGAAUAAAAUUUACUAUUUAGUACGAAAGGACCAUUAGUAUACACUUAAGUGUUUAUUUUUACA
rnacentral:rRNA from 1 species